AUUGAACGCUGGCGGCAGGCCUAACACAUGCAAGUCGAACGAGUGGCGGACGGGUGAGUAAUGUCUGGGAAACUGCCUGAUGGAGGGGGAUAACUACUGGAAACGGUAGCUAAUACCGCAUACAAUCAGAUGUGCCCAGAUUGGAUGGUCUUGUUGGUGGGUUAACGGCUCACCAAGGGGACGAUCCCUGGCUGGUCUGCGAGGAUGACCAGCCACACUUGAACUGAGAAACGGCCCAGAUUCCUACGGGAGGCAGCAGUGGGGAAGAUUGCCCACUGGUCGCAGGCCUGCUGCAGCCAUGCCGCGUGUAUGAAGAAGGCCUUCGGGUUGUAAAGUACUUUCAGCGGGGAGGCGUUACCCGCAGAAGAAGCACCGGCUAACUCCGUGCCAGCAGCCGCGGUAAUUC
rnacentral:rRNA from 1 species